CGUGCCUAACACAUGCAAGUCGAGCGGUAGCAGGUCUAGUUUACUAGAUGCUGACGAGCGGCGGACGGCUGAGUAACGCGUAGGAACGUGCCCCAAAGUGAGGAAUAACUGCCCGAAAGGGUGGCUAAUGCCGCAUAUGAUCUUCGGAUUAAAGUCUUCGGACGCUUUGGGAGCGGCCUGCGUUAGAUUAGGUAGUUGGUAGGGUAAUGGCUUACCAAGCCGACGAUCCAUAGCUGGUUUGAGAGGAUGAUCAGCCACACUGGGACUGAGACACGGCCCAGACUCCUACGGGAGGCAGCAGUGGGGAAUCUUAGACAAUGGGCGCAAGCCUGAUCUAGCCAUGCCGCGUGAGCGAUGAAGGCCUUAGGGUUGUAAAGCUCUUUCGUGGGGGAAGAUAAUGACUGUACCCCAAGAAGAAGCCCCGGCUAACUCCGUGCCAGCCGCCGCAGUAA
rnacentral:rRNA from 1 species